GAUGAAGAACGCAGCGAAAUGCGAUACGUAAUGUGAAUUGCAGAAUUCAGUGAAUCAUCGAAUCUUUGAACGCAUAUUGCGCUCUCUGGUAUUCCGGAGAGCAUGCUUGUUUGAGUAUCAGUAAACACCUCAACUCCCUUUUCUUUUUUGAAAUUGGAGCUGGACUUGAGUGAUCCCAACGCUUUCUUCCAAGAAAGUGGCGGGUUGCUUGAAAUGCAGGUGCAGCUGAACUUUUCUCUGAGCUAUAAGCAUAUCUAUUUAGUCUGCCUAAAAAACAGAUUAUUACCUUUGCUGCAGCUAACAUAAAUGAGACUAGUUCUUGUGCUGACUGAUGCAGGAUUCACAGAGACAGCUUCGGCUGACUUUGUAAACUCGAUCUCAAAUCAAGUAAGACUACCCGCUGAACUUAAGCAUAUCAAUAAGCGGAGGA
rnacentral:misc_RNA from 1 species